CCUACGGGUGGCAGCAGUGGGGAAUAUUGGUCAAUGGAGGAAACUCUGACCCAGCAACGCCGCGUGAAUGAUGAAGGUCUUCGGAUUGUAAAGUUCUUUUCUUAGGGAAGAAGAAAGUGACGCUACCUGAGUAAUAAGCCUCGGCUAACGACGUGCCAGCAGCCGCUGUAAUACGUAGGCGGCGGGCGUUAUCCGGAAUGACUGGGCGUAAAGGGUGCGUAGGUGGAUUGGUAAGUUAGUAGCGUAAUUCCAAGUCUGAACCUUGGAACUGCUUCUAAAAUUGUUGGACUUGAGUGCGGGAGAGGCAGGCGGAAUUCGUGGUGUAGCGGUGAAAUGCGUAGAUAUUAAGAGGAACACUCGUGGCGAAGGCGGGUUGCUAGACUGUAACUGACGCUGAGGCGCGAAAGCGUGGGGAGCAAACAGGAUUAGAUACCCUAGUAGUC
rnacentral:rRNA from 1 species